ensembl:antisense Gm11915 predicted gene 11915
AGAACUCAGGCUCCGAGAAUCAGAACCCUCUCCACGUAGCACCGGAGGAGGAGAGCAAGAGAGGCCUGCUGGCUGCAGGCACCUCUCCCCCUAGUGAUGCAGUUAUUUAUAGCUCAAACUCCUGCUGGAGUCUGCCAGAGCUCGCGCGCGCCGCUUCGCCGUGCGGGGCAAACUUUUCCUUAGAUCCCGCUAUUCCGGAGGAAUCGGGACAAGGCUUCUAAAGUAUCCAAGAAAUCAACCUUAGAAACGCAAGCUUGUCAGAUGAGGUACCGGUAUUGUGACACUGCUUAGCAGCAAGACACUUCCUUUGACAGGAUUUAUUUUUCCCCAGCUCCAACUACAGGCACCAAAAGGUAAUU